rnacentral:rRNA from 1 species
GAUGAACGCUGGCGGUAGGCCUAACACAUGCAAGUCGAACGGCAGCACAGUAAGAGCUUGCUCUUACGGGUGGCGAGUGGCGGACGGGUGAGGAAUACAUCGGAAUCUACUUUUUCGUGGGUGAUAACGUAGGGAAACUUACGCUAAUACCGCAUACGACCUACGGGUGAAAGCAGGGGAUCUUCGGACCUUGCGCGAUUGAAUGAGCCGAUGUCGGAUUAGCUAGUUGGCGGGGUAAAGGCCCACCAAGGCGACGAUCCGUAGCUGGUCUGAGAGGAUGAUCAGCCACACUGGAACUGAGACACGGUCCAGACUCCUACGGGAGGCAGCAGUGGGGAAUAUUGGACAAUGGGCGCAAGCCUGAUCCAGCCAUACCGCGUGGGUGAAGAAGGCCUUCGGGUUGUAAAGCCCUUUUGUUGGAAAAGAAAAGAAGCAGGUUAAUACCCCGCUGUUCUGACGGUACCCAAAGAAUAAGCACCGGCUAACUUCGUG